rnacentral:rRNA from 1 species
UACAUGGGGUGCAAACGUUGCUCGGAAUUACUGGGCGUAAAGCGUGCGCAGGCGGUUUUGUAAGCCAGAUGUGAAAUCCCCGGGCUUAACCUGGGAAUGGCAUUUGGGACUGCAAGGCUCGAGUGCGGCAGAGGAGACUGGAAUUCCUGGUGUAGCAGUGAAAUGCGUAGAUAUCAGGAGGAACACCGAUGGCGAAGGCAGGUCUCUGGGCUGACACUGACGCUCAUGCACGAAAGCGUGGGGAGCAAACAGG